ensembl:lncRNA
GUGACUGGUUCAUGAAGCGGUUCGAACUUUGUCGCGAGCUAUGACAGCGAUAUAAACCCCUCAGACUUCAUUCAAAAUGUGGAUGUUUGAUGGAGAGUUGUGGUUAGUGACAUUUGGGAGAGAGUUUGGAUGUUUAGGAGAGUGAGGAGAGAAAGUCAGGAGAGAAUGGAGCCAGCUAAGAAGAGGAGGAUGUCCUCCCCUGUGUGGGAACAUUUUGAUCUUAUUCCUCCCAACAAGAGAGACUCCACCCUUUUCCCGUUUUACUAAUUUGACACACCUGAGAGGAAAGAAGCAGUGGUAAUUUACAGAGUGCUCAGUGACACAUAAGAAUGGUGGAGCUUGGCGUCAGGAGGCAGAAAGAUACAGCGCCAGCGACGUGGGGCGAGUGGUCGAACUGCUGCAGCAACGGGAGGAUACAGCGCCAGCAAGCAGGGACGCGGAGCGAGCGGUCCGACUGCUGCAGCAACAGGAGGCCAGAGUACACGUCUGCGGGGAAUUAGAGGCGGCGAGGCGGGCCGGUGCCGAUUGGCGGUUUACAAAGAAGCGGCGGGUAGAAUUAUGAGCUCUUCCCACCCGGGGUAAGUCUUUUGACUUGUCCCCUUAAUGAAUGAAAGCCGCCUAAAAAGAGUAGUGACUGCCGCUGCCUUUCUGUUUUUAGCGCACCGGGGUGGAGACGAAGGCGAGGAUGCCGCCGGGUUUCCCUUCUGCACUGCUUCACUGGAUUUUAAUUCUUAGUGACGGACGUCACUGGACUUUUAACGUUUUUUUUUUAUUGAUUUUUAUUGUGUCGCUCCCUGGCCAGGGUUGUUUUAAUUCGUUUUAUAUUUUUAACGGUUUAAUUAUAAUAAAUUAUAUUUUAGUCUUACAGUUUUAAAUUUGUGCUCAUUCCCUUGGCUGCCCCACUGCUCUGUCCGUUUUUGAGGAGGGUUUCCCUUUUUUAGUAAUACCUGUGCUUAAACACCUUCCCUCUGUGACAUAAUUGGUGUUGUCGACAUACACAGUAAAAUUUGC